rnacentral:rRNA from 1 species
GACGAACGCUGGCGGCGUGCUUAACACAUGCAAGUCGAACGGAAAGGCCUCUUUCGGGGGGUACUCGAGUGGCGAACGGGUGAGUAACACGUGAGUAACCUGCCCUUGACUUUGGGAUAACUUCAGGAAACUGGGGCUAAUACCGGAUAGGAGCUCCUGCUGCAUGGUGGGGGUUGGAAAGUUUCGGCGGUUGGGGAUGGACUCGCGGCUUAUCAGCUUGUUGGUGGGGUAGUGGCUUACCAAGGCUUUGACGGGUAGCCGGCCUGAGAGGGUGACCGGCCACAUUGGGACUGAGAUACGGCCCAGACUCCUACGGGAGGCAGAAGUGGGGAAUAUUGCACAAUGGGUGGAAGCCUGAUGCAGCAACGCCGUGUGCGGGAUGACGGCCUUCGGGUUGUAAAACGCUUUCGCUCAUGACGAAGCUUUGUGUGACGGUAGUGGGUAAAGAAGCACCGGCUAACUACGUG